rnacentral:lncRNA from 1 species
CGAAAGUUUAAAAAAACAACAACUAAAAACGUGUCUAAAUAAGUGUGAAAGAUUCAGCUCUGAGAAUCGGUCAAGUGCAAUUCAGAAAGACCGACACUAUUUAGCCGAUAAUAUGGAUAUGCAACGUUUAAAUCAAAAUGAUAUCCAUCAAACAAAAAAUUACAGCAAAACAGCAUCUUUCAUGGGUAAUUUGAGAUUGAACAAUAACCAACAUUUUGUGCAACAGUACUUUCUUAAGUUCUUUAUACACAACGCAGAUGUGGAUUGAUUUAACUAUAUACUACAGACUAUAGAAUACCAGAUCGCAAA